CCUGAGCCACCUGCUCCGAGCUCGAUUUCCCUUUCAAGCUGUGUGUUCUGCGGGGGCAGGGAGAGCUGCAAUGGCUCAUCUUUCAGGACAUGCUGCAAAGGGCCUUUGAAGUCAUCCGCCCUGCUCUUGGCACCUUGCGCCUGGAGCUGAGCUCUUCCAAAAAUGACCCCUGCGCAUUCCGUGGUGCGGCCGCCCAGCCCAGGCAGUCGCGGUCCAGAGCAGGGGAAGCAGCAGCGCGGCCGGCAGCUGGGAGAGCCGAGGCCCCGAGGGAGGACCCUGCCUCAAGCCAAGCAACCAGGCCCUGCGGCCCUCUCCCCACCGCCGUGCGGCCCUGGCGCAGGGAACCGGGACGGGGCUUUCCGGCCUUGAAGGGCAGACUUACUCCACCAAACAUUCCCAUCGUCGGCUGAUGGAGGGCCUCGAGCUGGGCGCUGUGGUAUAUGCCCUUCUAGAGAGACCUGCCAGACUGAGCUGCUUCCAUCAGCCAGACAUGAGGAUAAGAGCAUUUAGGCUCCAGGCUUAUCUGACUGGUCAGAGGAAUGGAUCAGUGGCCCCCAUUCAUUCUCCUGUCUCUUUCUGGAGUCACAACUUAGGAUUGUAAGCUUCCUGAGGCCUCCCUAGAAGCCGAGCUGAUGCCAGCACUAUGCUUCCUGUACGGCCCGCAGAACCAUAAGCCAAUUAAACUGCUUUCUUUAUAAAUUACCCAGUAUCAGGUAUUUCUUUGUAGCAAUGCAAGAACAGCCUAACACAGGUGGAAUGGUCGGAUUCCAGUCACUGUCUUGGACCUGGAGGUCCAGGGUCCCCCUUUAGGGCUGGUGGUGUGAUGUGCUAUAGAAGAAUCUUGGGAUUCCGACAACUUCAUGAACAGAAUGUCCACUUCAACCUGUGAGAGAUUGUUUGGGAAGAUCCCUCCCUUCCCAGUGCUUCUUGGCAAUGUGACUUUGCCCUCUUCCCAUCAAGAGAUAAAGUCUGUUUCCCUCCCUUGAAUUGGAUGUGUCCCUGAAUCAACCCAGCACUGUGCUCCCACCUCCGUGUGGCAAAAUUGGCAUUGGGUGACUUUUGGGGCCUGACACUCCCAUGUGAGAAAGCCAGCCUAGCCUCCCAGAAGAUGAGGGUCUCCAGCCAGGAGCACCAGCUGCUGGCACUGGAGUGAGCCGACGUAGAACCCUUCUGCCCAGGCCACCUUCCAGUUGCCUGCAGUUUCAGAAGGGAGCCCAGGAGAAACCCACAGGGGAAGUUCACCAAUGUACAAAACAUGAAGUGUAAAUUGUUGUUUUCAGCCACUAAGUUUUAGGGUGGUUUGUUGAUGCAGUGAAAGCUAAAUAAAAUCCAGCCCUGGGCUGCCCACCUCUGACUUUUUCAUGAGAAAGAAACUUUGAUCUUGUUUAAGGCAUGAUGGUUUUUGGUCUUGGGUGAACGGAAUCCUGAUGCACACAUGCACCUCUGGACCAGAGAUUUUUGCUUUGAUGUGAUACCUCAGUGGCCAGGGUGAUUCUCUCUUGCUGCUGAUGGAUGUGCUGAGCCCUUU